CAGGUAUACCACAUACCAUUGAAUGUCACCUCGCAACUGUCAUGAAGGCGCAGACGUAAAAUACGAAAACUUUUCAUAUCGAUCAAAAUAUUUAUCCGUGCUGUAAAAGGGUAAUAACCGAAUUUUGGCGUCGAUAAAAAUAAGAUAAAAGUACAUUGAAAGGCAAACGGACGAUAAGGCUAAACUUGAAGCAUAUGCGAAUGUGAAAGGAGGCUGAGGAAAGAAAAUUACAACGAUUCUGUCAAGAGAGGCAUGUGGAUGCCAAAAAAGUUUCCAACAAACAGCAUACAGUCGUGUACGUGAGCAUCAAGCCGCGUUUUCCGUCUUUGCUUGGCGUUUUUCCAUUUUUCCAUUGAAAAGCUGAAUUUGAAAGAAACGAAAAAGAAAAGAAAAUUGCCGCAAACUGCGAAAUGUCACGGCGGACAUGCAUGUGUGCCCUUAGCCGUGGCAUAUUUGUUCGUGUAUGACCCCACUCUCCUGAGAAUUUCCCUUAGUCAUUUAAUAUUCAAGCGUUGGCGAAAAGAAAGUCAAGGAGACUGCUA